UUCGGAGCGGUUGCAGCAAUCUGUCAAGAUGGAGCAGGGAUCUUUGCUGGAGCGUCAGCUAUUGUCUACAGAACGAUUGGAGAUCCAGCUACGUUGGAUGCUUUGGUUAUAAGAGAAGCUCUAGCUCUUGCUGAUGAUCUAUACCUUCAACGAAUUCAUGUUGCUUCGGACUGCAGAGGAGUUGUGGAUGAAAUCAAGAAGGGUGGUGCAUCGAACUAUGGUGCAGUAAUUCAGGAGAUUAAAUUGCAUUCAGUUUCUUUUAUUUCCUGUAAGAUAGUUCACGAAUUUAGGAGCUCAUACUUUGAUGCUCACAACCUUGCCAAGUAUGCGUUGGGUCUUGGGGCUGGUCGCCAUGUAUGGUUAGGUCAGCCUCAAGGUAUUCCCUUCGUCCAUGUAAACAUUGUGACGGUUGAAUAA
rnacentral:rRNA from 1 species